AUUUAAUCUGUUUUAGGUACUAUCUUCAAAACCUAAUUUCAAAGCCAAAUGUUCCCAAACUUUUAAGCCCAUAUAUUAUUAGAAAAAACCUUUUAACAACUAAACCUUAACAUAUGUCCUCCCACUUUGUUAUUUCUUUCACCUCAGCCGCACCACUUCUGUCGCUGUUGUUUCUUUUUCCUUUCUCCGUCCUCCAUCUUCAUUAUUCACUCCCUCUUCCCUCUUCUUUUUUCUUUUUUUUUCUCCCCAGCUGGAUCUUUACUCUCUCCCUCUUCCACGACAAAUCAUGUCUUUCUCUCUCCCCCCCCAAAUCCUCUGUUGUGUCUUUUGAUCUCUCUCUCUCUUCUUCCGGGCCAGCCAAGAAUCCAUACUUGCCGGCAGUCACAACAACUCUUCUGAGUCCAACUUUCAGAUGGGAGAAGAAGAACGGGUGGGUGGACCUUCCAAUGGUAAAAACAUGUAUGGGCCACCAAAUAUGGAAGAUUGGAGCAAUGCCGCUAUCUUUGUCAAAUUUUUGAAAGUGUUCUAUCAAAUGACGUUGCAGAUGAGUGUUACUUUACAUUCGGCUUGUCAUAGUACUUUUUCUGAUUUGCUUGCAAUUGGCUAAGAAAUAGUUGAUUUGUUCGUCGAAGAAGAUAAGUUAUUAACUUAAACACACACAAGCUUGAUAUUGUAUGAAAUGACACUAAGCAUAAAUGUAAAAUUUGAUUAGUAUUGGGGUGAUCUUGUUAAAGUGAAUCAUUUUCUAUUUGUGGGACUUGUACUUGAUCCAAGAUAUAAACUGGGCUAUGUGCCACAUAUUUUGAAGCGUCGCUGGUGUAGUAUUGAUGAAGCCAUAGCUAAGAGUAUGAGAGGCCCGGCCACCUUCCCCCGGAUGAGUACUACAACUACUAUUGGUGGUGCUGAUCCAAAACAACAUGGAAGGGGGAAAAACAAGCAGAAAUAGACGAAAGUUGGAUAAAAAAAGUUGAAGCAAGUAAAGUCGUGCUCUCGGAGCAUGAGUUUGAUAGGUACUUGUUAGAUCGCAAUGAAAAAGUGGAAGUGGGUCAAGAUUUUGAUAUUUUAAAUUGGUGGAAAUUGAAUGGUGUUAAAUACCCACUGUUAGCACUAAUUGCAAAGGAAGUUCUUGCAAUUCUGGUCUCAACGGUAGCUUCAGAAUCUGCCUUUAGCACGGGAGGGAGGAUUAUGAACUCAUAUCGUUCUUCAUUGACUCCUUUAAUGGUAGAGGUUAAUUUAUACUCAAAAUUGGUUGAUGUUAGAUAACAUCUCAAUUUUAGACGACGAGACAAUCUUGGAAGAUAUGGAGUUUUAUGAAGCACUUGAAAAAUGGAUGAGUAUUUAUUUUUCAUUUCUGUUUUUGUUUUUUCUCUUGUUUUGUUGCAUGCUUACUUUCUUAUUUUUUAAUGAGUUCUUGAUUUUUAUAUGUUCUAGAAAAAAGGAAUGGUGGCCCAUCUAGCAUUAGGGAUUUAGCAAAUAUUCAAUCCUAACUUAUCACCUUUUACUACUGAUGAUAUGUAUGUAUCUUUAGUUUUUUAGCAUCUUCCUUACUAAUUUGAAUUGUAAGCUUGUUGUAUGAUGUAUGUAUUUUUCUUGCUAAGUUACAACCCGUCCAUAAUUUUAUUUUAUUUAUAAAAAAAAAUGUGAAACGAUCAAAAUGCCCUUAGAGGUAUGCGUCGACUUUCAUUGAUUUACUCGUCAAGACACGUAUGACAUAUUAAUUAGUAUAUUCUAACAACACUCAUUAAUAUGACCGACUGAUCAUAAACGUAGCGAAAAUUAGAACUAGAAGAAAGAUUUUACGAAACACGUAUAAAUCAUUUUAUUUAAGGUAGUGGAAAAGAUAAUAGCGCUAGUUAUAAAAUAUUAGUGAUGGAAUAAAAAUAAAUAAAAUAAAUAAAUAUAAAGAAAUAAAAGAGAAGAUGGGAGAACUCUCGAGAAAUGGGAGACGUCGGUGGAGAAGAAAGAAAAAAAAAAGGAAGGAUGAUGGGGAAGGGGGAUUCUUGUUGUUGUGCCUUGGCCGUUCGUCAGUGCGGAAGUGAGAUUUAGAUUGUCUCACCAAACUACAGACCCACAGUUGAACAGUUUAAAUUACAAGAAAUAAAUACACUGAGAAAUUUACGAGGUUCGGCAAAAAUCUGCCUACGUCCUCCAAGAGAUAUUGCCCUUCACUAUGAGAAUAACUAGUACAAGAUACACUUGAGUUAAAUCAACAUAACCCAAACUCCAAUCCCUUGUAUCCUUACAGAAUUUUACUAAAAGCCUCGCUCUCCCCAAGAGUUUCUCACUCUCACUCUAUAUUUUCUCUCAUUUGUGUUCUCCUUCGGAUGCUCUCUCAAUGCAUUUCUAAAUGCACAAAUAUUGCAUCUAGUUAUAGGCAUACACUAGCAACUAUACCAACAAACAAGACCAAAAAGUCUUAAGUUCACAUGACAUAAUUAUCACCUAGCCUACCUAGCAUGCAUCAAAGUCUAUACCUAGUCUAUAAAGUACAACUUUUCUCCAUUUGUCAUUUAAUGCAUAUAAAAUAAAACAUGCACAAUUGUGUGCAAGCAACCACAAAGUCAAGUCUUGCUUCCAACUUUGCUUGUGGUAGUCACCAUGUCUUCUCUUGAAACAAGACAUCCAUGCCACAACCGAAAGCCAAACACAAAGUGGCUACUGCCAUUUCCCUGUAGCACUCAGAAAGUUACACUAUCAAAAUUGUUGCUAACUCAUAAGUAUAUGAGUCAAACACAACAUUGUUGCUGUGGAUGUUGAGAUCAGCGGGAACGCCCCCAUGCUUCAGGUUUGAGUUGUAUUCAUCUCUAUAAAAUACUAACUUGUGUAAAAUAUAGAAAUAGAUAUCUAGCACUUCAACGAUAGAGACCAGUAUUUCCAAGAAUUUUACUCACUUAAUCUCCCUUGCUUUCUCCUUGUUAUUUGGCUGAUGUGAGACGAAAACUAGCUCUGGGUUUCUCACUUUUUAUUGGGGUUGUUUACAGCAGUUGAUGAUCCUUCCAUUAUUGUAAGUAUUUCCCAAGAAACUUCUGGGUAUAAUUGUGUGUGUGUGUAUAGCAUUGACAUACAUGCUUCAAUCAAACAGAACCCUCAUCACACAUAAAUAUAUAUUGCUUUGUUUAUAAAUUUGAUGUGUUUUAAGCUCUGCACUUUGUAUAACCUUUUAUGAAAGGCUAAAUUGAUUCAGUGGAUGUAAGAAUCUGUCAAGUAUGUGUGAUAAGAGGAUUAGUCACUUGAAUUACAUAGAGUCAGUUUUUUUCUUUAUUCUAAAAUGCAUAUUCUAAUUAAACGAAAAGAGCUGGGCAACUAGUGACCCAAAUUAUGUUAUAUAAUGAAUUGACAAUGAUUUAUUUUGAAUGAAUGCUUUUAUUCAACAUGAUGUGAAAUUAAAUUUCUUACUAGUUGGGAAAUGAUGUUGGUACACUAAGAUUUAUAGUUAUAGACGGAAAGCAUAAGAUUUAGGUCCAUGUAAUAAGUAGAGACUCUGUCUUCCUAGGUAAAGACCCCUAAGAAAGUUAGUACGCAUGGGUAUACCGGUGGCCUUAUUUCAAGGUAGUGGCCAUGACCUUUUAUUAGAGCUUAUAGAUACGACAUUAAGGCCUAACCAAGAUGUUUAGAACCAAGAUUGAGAAACGUUGAGAAAGGAUUUCGUAAAUAAAAUAACGUGUAAUCAACCUGAGUUUUUAGAAUAACUAUGAAAUCUUCUAUUGAGGCGAGUUAGCAGCAUAGGUAUGGAUUUAUUUCUUAAGGUGAACUACGAAUAGCUUGAUCGUUAUUUAGAGUACGUAGGCAGUCUAACGAGGAAGUUAGAUGUAGCCAUAAAGCAUACAAAAAAUUACUACGAAAUUGGGACUUGAGUUGUGCUUUGUUCAUAGCCUGAAGGCAAAGUAAAUUAGAUAUACAGGUAUUUGGUGGCGUCACGUGUUGAUCCUGGAUGUAUGUUGGGAUCUAGACGUGACAACUUUUAGUGGUAUCAGAGCUUAGGUUAAUAACUCGAACCAUCUCAUGAUUAUCGAUUCUUAUAAACACCUAGUCUUGUGAUUUUUUCUGGAUCAGUGUCCACUCAUGUCAAUCUUCAUGGGUAAGUUUUCAAGACUCUUCUGUUGCCAAAUACUUAGAUUUCAUUAUAAAUGAAUCAGUCUUUGUGGAAUUAUAGUAUGAUGGGUGGCUAGCCAAUUAAUAUUCUUUCUUGUAAUGAUAUACUUGACUUGUUUGAAACCCAUUUGAUAUUAUAACUCCUCAUAUAUAUUGGAAAGGAUAAAUAUUCAUAUAUGCUUUUGACGAAUUGACAUGUGUGCAUAUAUCUGUAUUCAUAUGCUUUAAUUUGUACUAUUAUUUGGAUGAAAAAUAUAUAUAAGACUUUGGCUGUUUACUGGAUUUUAGUUAUGUGUACAUGUACAAGGUUUUGAACAUCACAAGGCUAAAGCAGUAAUGGAAAUUCUCGUUACUUUCAAUUUUUUUUGUAUGUGAUCAAAUAUCAUGUCCUUGGGUUUGGGUUCAAAGGUCAAUUCUUGCUAAUAGUUGAGUAUAAUAUAGAUAGAGUUAGAACCAUGAUUUCUGAAUUGUUUGGAAGUGUUCUGAAGUUGUAAUUUCAAUAAAAUGAGUUUGGGUUCUAAAAUUGCAGAUUUUUUUUUUU